AUUGAACGCUGGCGGCAGGCCUAACACAUGCAAGUCGAACGAGUGGCGGACGGGUGAGUAAUGUCUGGGAAACUGCCUGAUGGAGGGGGAUAACUACUGGAAACGGUAGCUAAUACCGCAUACCAUCGGAUGUGCCCAGAUGGGAUUAGCUAGUAGGUGGGGUAAAGGCUCACCUAGGCGACGAUCCCUAGCUGGUCUGAGAGGAUGACCAGCUACACUGGAACUGAGACACGGUGCCGAGUCCUGCGGGAGGCAACAGUGGGGCAUAUUGCACAAUGGGGGCUAGCCUGAUGCAGCCAUGCCGCGUGUAUGAAGAAGCCCUUCGGGAUGUAAUGUACUUUCAGCGGCAAAACGUUACCCGCAGAAUAAGCACCGGCUAACUCCGUGCCAGCAGCCGCGGUAAUUC
rnacentral:rRNA from 1 species